GUCCGAGGAAUGAUGUACUACUACAGGGCGCUUAAAAUGCUUUCGUUUCUCGACUAUGCUUCGGAGAUGGACAUUCGAC